AAAAACAAAAAUUUUUUAUCCACCUUUUUUUUUACCCCAUCUAAUCGGUAGUUAAUACCAUAAUGCGAGAAAGUUGUUAAGGUCUGACUUUCUCGUAAGACUCG